UGAGGAAUAUUGCACAAUGGGCGCAAGCCUGAUGCAGCAACGCCGCGUGCGGGACGAAGGCCUUCGGGUCGUAACCGCUUUUCUGGGGAAAGAGCAAGGACGGUACCUCAGGAAUAAGUCUCGGCUAACUACGUGCCAGCAGCCGCGGUAAAACGUAGGAGGCGAGCGUUAUCCGGAUUUACUGGGCGUAAAGUGCACGCAGGCGGCUCUGUGAGUCGGACGUGAAAGCUCCCGGCUUAACCGGGAGAGGCCGUUCGAUACUGCGGGGCUUGAGGUAGGGAGAGGAAUGCGGAAUUCCCGGUGUAGUGGUGGAAUGCGUAGAUAUCGGGAGGAACACCUGUGGCGAAAGCGGCAUUCUGGCCCUCACCCGACGCUGAGGUGCGAAAGCGUGGGUAGCAAACAG
rnacentral:rRNA from 1 species